CUAAUACAUGCAAGUCGAGCGGACUUGACAGGAAAGUUUGCUUUCCUGUCGGUCAGCGGCGGACGGGUGAGUAACACGUGGGCAACCUGCCUGUAAGACCGGGAUAACUCGCGGAAACGCGGGCUAAUACCGGAUAGUUCCUCUUGUCGCAUGGCGGGAGGAGGAAAGAGGGCGCAAGCUCUCGCUUGCAGAUGGGCCCGCGGCGCAUUAGCUAGUUGGUAGGGUAACGGCCUACCAAGGCGACGAUGCGUAGCCGACCUGAGAGGGUGAUCGGCCACAUUGGGACUGAGACACGGCCCAAACUCCUACGGGAGGCAGCAGUAGGGAAUCUUCCGCAAUGGACGAAAGUCUGACGGAGCAACGCCGCGUGAGCGAAGAAGGUCUUCGGAUCGUAAAGCUCUGUUGUCAGGGAAGAACAAGUACCGUUCGAUAAGGGCGGUACCUUGACGGUACCUGACGAGAAAGCCCCGGCUAACUACGUGCCAGCAGCCGCGGUAAUACGUAGGGGGCGAGCGUUGUCCGGAAUCAUUGGGCGUAAAGCGCGCGCAGGCGGUCCUUUAAGUCUGAUGUGAAAUCUUGCGGCUUAACCGCAAGCGGUCAUUGGAAACUGGAGGACUUGAGUGCAGGAGAGGGAAGCGGAAUUCCAUGUGUAGCGGUGAAAUGCGUAGAGAUAUGGAGGAACACCAGUGGCGAAGGCGG
rnacentral:rRNA from 1 species